GCUUAGGAGAUUAAGAAAUAUUUUGCUGGUAUUAAUGGCUCCAACUUCAGAGGGGUGAGGCCCACGCUGCAAGAAUGACCCAGGCCGGUGGAGGGGAGUGCUCGGGGUCAGCCAGGAUGAUUAAGGCAAGAGACAGCAGAGAGAGCAGGGAAACUAUCCCCAUUCGAUAGAUGAAGGAACUGAGGACCAGAGAGUGAAGUGGUUUUGCCCACCACCACUGGCAAGCUGAUAAUGAUAUUUAUUGAGGACCUAUUACGUGAGACAGAGAAAUACCAGGUAUGUUCUUUGCUUCCCCUAAGUUCUUCAGUCGGGGAGUGCAAGAGGGUCAGGGACCUCAUGCAAAAGAGCACCGUGAGGAUCUAGCAGUCAUUCUCCUUGACAAAGAUCCAAAUGAGCUGAAAACCUACAUCCGCACAAAAACCUGCGCCCGGAUGUUUAUCGCAGCAUUUUUCAUAAUUGCCAAAACUUGGAACUACGAUGUCCUUCAGUGGGUGAGUGGAUAAACAAACUGUGAUAUAGCCAUACAAUGGAAUAGUAUUUAGGGAUAAAAAGACAUGAGCUAUGAAGCCAUGAAAAGACAUGGAGGAAGCUUAAAUGCCUAUUACCUAGUGAAAGAAGGCUAAAAAGGCUACAUACAUGACCUGAGACCAUUGCUGAGCACCCAGAACACAGCAAGUGUUCCAAAGGUGGGAAUGGCUGUCACUAGCAGUGUUAUCCUCCUUAAAGGACGAGAAUUAAGAAUCGUGGUCUCCUGUUUUGAUCUUCAUUAUCAAUACGCCGGAUAUACAGUAAGUCAUUGCUCUAACAAUGAAAAAAUUAACUCCCCAAGAGAAUGAGAAGACAAGCCAGCGAUUGGAAAAAAAUAUUUGCCAAAGACCUGUCUGAUAAAGGAUUGCGAUCCAAAAUAUACAAAGAAUAUACAACAAUAAGAAAACAAACAACCCCAUUAAAAUGGGCAAAAGAUUUGAACAGACAUCUCACCACUUACAGAUGGCAAGUAAGCAUAUAAAGAGUUGUUCUACAUCCUGUGUCAUCAAGGCGAUGCAAAUUAAAACGACGACGAGAUACCACCACACACCUAGAGUGGCCAAAAUCCAGAACACUGACGAUACCAGAUGCUGGCAAGGAUGUGGGGCCAGGGGAACCUUCAUUCGUUGCCGGCAGGGAAUGCAAAAUGAUACAGUCACUUUGGAAAACAGUUUAGUUUGGAAAACUAAACAUACUCUCACCAUAUAAUUUAGCAAUUGUACUCCUUGGUAUUUACCCAAAGUAGCUGGAAACUUAUGUCCACACAAAACCUGCACACGGAUGUUUAUAGCAGCUUUAUUCAUAAUUGCCAAAACUUGGCAAGAUAUCCUUUAGUAGGUAAAUGGAUAAAGAAGCGGUGGUGCAUCUAGACAAUGGAAUAUUUUUCAGUGCUAAAAAGAAAUGAGCU